rnacentral:rRNA from 1 species
CAGCACCUCAAGUGGUCAGGAUGAUUAUUGGGCCUAAAGCAUCCGUAGCCGGCGCUGUAAGUUUUCGGUUAAAUCUGUACGCUCAACGUACAGGCUGCCGGGAAUACUGCAGCGCUAGGGAGUGGGAGAGGUAGACGGUACUCGGUAGGAAGGGGUAAAAUCCUUUGAUCUAUUGAUGACCACCUGUGGCGAAGGCGGUCUACCAGAACACGUCCGACGGUGAGGGAUGAAAGCUGGGGGAGCAAAGCGGAUUAGAUACCCGAGUAGUCC